UCUCCUCCCUUAUUUUCUCUCUCCUUCUCUCUCUAGAGUUUUUCUCCCUCUAUUCUCUCUCCAUCUGAUUCAUGGACCCUCAUAUGAACUUGAGAUAAUAUACCUAAAGCAGUCCAAAACUGCUUUAAUAUCCGUGUAAGAUGUCGAAUCCCAUCCCGAUCAUGUCAAAUACCCUUGAAACCUAUUAUUGAUGAACCUAUUGAUUGAUCUUGGCUUUAAUUCUACUUCAUGCUUCAUGAUUCUUUGAUCAAGUCACCUACAUCUGAUCCUUGGUUAGGAAGAUCCUGAAUUAUCCCAGCAUCUGGACUGCCUAUCGAACUGAUCAUCCGAUUUACAAUCUUUUUUAUUUAUGAUUGAAUUAAUAAAUAAAAAUUAAUGAUAUUUUUAAUAUGUUAAAUAGG
rnacentral:lncRNA from 1 species